UUAUUUACCUGGUAGGGAAGACACUCUUCCUCUUGGCCUUGAAUGACUCAAAUAUAGUGAGAGAGUAAAGGCCUAUCUGUUGCACUGCAAGCAGGUGGAUCCCUGCAAGAGUCUACAAAUGCCUCCAAAUGCAAGGAUCUCGACUACACAAUUUAUGGCAAUGGGAGACUGCUUUCGGGCCUUCCCCCU
rnacentral:snRNA from 12 species